ensembl:lncRNA
GGCUUAUUGAUUGAUUGAUUGAUUGAUUGAUUGCACCCACGGCAUAUGGAAGUUCUCAGGCUAAGGGCUGAGUCAGAGCUGCAGGUGCUGGCCUACACCACGGCUACAACCAUGCAGGAUCCAAGCUGUGUCUGUGACCUACACCACAGCUCAUGGCAACCCUGGAUCCUUCACCCACUGAGUGGGGCCAGGGAUCGAACCUGCAUCCUCAGGGAUCUUAGUUGGGUUCGUGACUGCUGAGCCAUGACGGGAACUCCCUGUAGGAUACUUCUUGAAGUACCUGAAGUAAGUAUAAUCUUAAGAGUAACUUUUAAAGAUUUUACCAAAGUCAACUAAUACUUAAUUACAAAUAUUUUCAGUGGUGUACUGUGAUCUCUUUGCCAUUCUUCUGUAUUUCAGCUUGUCUUGUUUUCCCCUCUUGGAUUGAUUUUUUACAAGCCCUCUCAAAACUUGUUACUCAGGGAAUACCAGACAAACUAUGUGGGAACUUCAGUCCCUAAAGUUGGAAGACAGAAAUAAUUAAGGACACUGGAAUAAAAGCAUUAUUACCAGUUGCCAGCUGUUACCAAGCAUCCAUCUGAGCAAAGAGCCAGGCAAAUGAUAAAAUAUAGAGAAUAUAUCUUUCCAAAAUAAAAAUAGCUUUAUUGUUUUAUGAUAAUAAAAGCAAUACAUACUCAUUACAAAAAAUUUCAAAUACACAAAAGUCUAAAGAAAGUAAAGUUCACCCAGACACCACAGCCCAGAAACAAACCAUUAAUUUUUUUAGUAAAGAUUUCCCUUUGAAAUAUAUUAUUUAACAAUAUCUAAUGUUAUAAAUGGGGCCAUAUCAAAUAUGCUAUUCUGUGGUCUGCUUUUUCAUUCAAUAAUAUUUCAGGGAUAGAUUUUUCCAUGGCAAUAAACACAAACCUAAAUAGUUUUUAAUUAGACAGUUGCAAACAACUAUGUAUUUGUGCUAUAAUUUAUUUAACCCAUCUUCUAUUGAAGGAUAUUUAGCCUGUUUCCAAUACAUUAACAUCAUAAACAUUAAAAAGUACAGCUUCACCUUUCACACUUGUGAUAUUUUUAAUCAUUAGGAUAAAUUCCUAAAUAAACUGCUGGAUAAAAGGGUAUCACCAUUUAAAGUUUUUUUUUUUUUGGAUUAAAGUAUAGUGGAUGUACAAUGUUGUGCCAAUUUCUGCUGUACAGCAAAGAGACCCAGUCACGCACAUAUACAUAUACAUACCCUUUCUUAUCUUCCAUCACGGUCUACCCCAAGAGACUGGAUAUAGUUCCCUGCACUAUACUGCAGGACCUCAGUGCUUAUCCAUUCUAAAUGUAAUAGCUUGCAUCCACUAACCCCAAACCCCCAGGCCAUCCACUCCCACCGCCUUUCCCUUGGCAACCCAAGUCUGUUCUCUAUGUCUGGUAUUAACGUUUAAAGUUUUGAUACAUGUUGCCUUCUAGAGAGGUUGUGCCAAUUCCUACUCCUGCCAACAGUGGACGAGAAUGCCCAUUUGCCCAUAUUCCUGUCAACUGUCUUAAUCUUUGCCCAUCUGGAAGGACAAAAUUAAUACUUAAAAAUAAUAAAAACAUAUUUAUUAGCUGUUUUCAUUUUCAAAUAGGGGAUACUUUUACUUUUUUAAGUUACUCCUUCUCACAGCAGAUAUUUCUUGGGCUUAAAUAAAGAAUUUUCAGUUUGCGUCCCCAGUCCAUCAUAAAUAUGACUCAGGAUAAGAGUCAACUUCUUUGGAGUUCCCUUGUGGUGCAGCAGGUUAAGGAUCUGGUGUCACUUCAGCGGCUUAGGUUGCUGCUAUGGCACAGGUUCAAUCCCUGGUCUAGAAAUUUUCACAUACCACAGGAGCACCCCAAAAUAAAAAAAGGAAUCAACUUCUCUAAACCUCAUUUUCCUUGAUCUUACAGUAACAGAGCCCAGCUCAAUAGAUGUCAUGUGAAUGCAGCUAGCACAGUACUAAAUAUGUCAAUAUGGACUGAGUCUGAAUCUCCCGCUAGUACCUUCUUGCCCUCAAUCCCAAUUGACAUUAGUCUAUAAGAAAAUUUUAAAAUUAAGGAGCCACUGAAAAACAUUAGAAAUGUUCUCUUGCUAUUUAUAGAGAUGAUCAUAAAAGUCUGCAAUGAAGCAGAUGACAUCAACAAAAAGCUCUUAAGUGAAGGUUUGGUGGCAAUGCAGGUUUGGUAGGCAUAUUUGGAAUAAAAAUGCCUCACAAGAAAAUACUUGCAAUCAAGCCCAAUGUACUAUCAUGCAUACAUAAAUAAUGUGGAGUAGGGGGAGGACAAGAUGGCGGAGGAGUAGGAAGACACGCUCGCCCUCUCCCACAAACACAACAAAAAAAGCACAUCUACAGAAUAAAUGACUCGCACAGAACAGCAACCAAUCGCUGGCAGAGGAACCUAAACUCCAAUAACAGCAAGAAGUUCAUGACAUUAUUGGGCAGAACGGGAGAAAAGAGGAGAGUGAGAGAAGGCGAAUCCGAGCGAGACGGGGGCUCCCGAAAGGGAACUGCGGAGGAGAAAGGGAUCCCGCACCCUGGAAAGUCACCUACCGGGCGAAAGAUCAAACGAACCAGAGGAAUCUCCAGAUGCAGAGAAGAGUGUAGCAGUAAGUCGGAGUACGGAAAAACGGAUCGAGAACCCAACGGACCAUCUGAACUACGGGCAGAGUCACCAAAAAUUGAGACGCCUGGGUGGGGGCUGGGCACCGAAUCCUCG